AGUGAACGCUGGCGGUAGGCCUAACACAUGCAAGUCGAACGGCAGCACAGUAAGAGCUUGCUCUUACGGGUGGCGAGUGGCGGACGGGUGAGGAAUACAUCGGAAUCUACUUUUUCGUGGGGGAUAACGUAGGGAAACUUACGCUAAUACCGCAUACGACCUACGGGUGAAAGCAGGGGAUCUUCGGACCUUGCGCGAUUGAAUGAGCCGAUGUCGGAUUAGCUAGUUGGCGGGGUAAAGGCCCACCAAGGCGACGAUCCGUAGCUGGUCUGAGAGGAUGAUCGGCCACCCUGAACUGGGGCCACGGCCCAAACCCUAACGGGAGGCAGCGGUGGGGAAUUUUGGCCAAUGGGGGCAGGCUUGACCCAGCCAUCCGGGGUGGGUAAAAAAGGCUUUCGGGUUGUAAACCCCUUUUUUUGGAAAGAAAAGCAGCAGGUUAAUACCCCGCUGUUCUGACGGUACCCAAAGAAUAAGCACCGGCUAACUUCGUG
rnacentral:rRNA from 1 species